UACGAAGGGGGGCUAGCGUUGUUCGGAAUACUGGGCGUAAAGCGCACGUAGGCGGAUUUCAUAGCAGGGGUGAAAUCCCGAGCUCAACCUCGAACUGCCUUUGAUACUGGGAUAUCGAGUUCCGGGGAGAGGUGAGUGGAACUGCGAGUGUAGAGGUGAAAAUUCGUAGAUAUUCGCAAGAACACCAGUGGCGAAGGCGGCUCACUGGCCCGGUACUGACGCUGAGGUGCGAAAGCGUGGGGAGCAAACAGG
rnacentral:rRNA from 1 species